GCAUGGUGCAGGGGGAAAAACUCCGGUGGUCAGAGAUGGGCUCGCGUCUGAUUAGCCAGUUGGCGGGGUAACGGCCCACCAAAGCGACGAUCAGUAGCCGGCCUGAGAGGGCGGACGGCCACAUUGGGACUGAGACACGGCCCAAACUCCUACGGGAGGCAGCAGUGGGGGAUAUUGCACAAUGGGGGGAACCCUGAUGCAGCGACGCCGCGUGAGUGAAGAAGUAUUUCGGUAUGUAAAGCUCUAUCAGCAGGGAAGAAAGGCCCAUUAAGGGAGAUGACGGUACCUGACCAAGAAGCCCCGGCUAACUACGUGCCAGCAGCCGCGGUAAUACGUAGGGGGCAAGCGUUAUCCGGAUUUACUGGGUGUAAAGGGAGCGUAGACGGGACUGCAAGUCUGAUGUGAAAUCCCCGGGCUUAACCCGGGAAUUGCAUUGGAAACUGUAGACCUGGAGUGCAGGAGGGGUAAGCGGAAUUCCUAGUGUAGCGGUGAAAUGCGUAGAUAUUAGGAGGAACACCGGUGGCGAAGGCGGCUUACUGGACUGUAACUGACGUUGAGGCUCGAGAGCGUGGGGAGCAAA
rnacentral:rRNA from 1 species